ensembl:lncRNA MIR663AHG MIR663A host gene
GUCUGUGGCGGUGGGAUCCCGCGGCCGUGUUUUCCUGGUGGCCCGGCCAUGCCUGAGGUUUCUCCCUCAGCCGCCCCUCUGCGGGCUCCCAGAUAGCAAGACAAAUCUCUCCUCUGCCUUCUCCUUAUCAGACUACUCAACAUGAAGGCAAUAAGAAUGAAGACCUCUAUGUAUAAUAAUUGACUUCCACUUAAUAAAUAAGGUUACUUGGUACACUGGUCGACAAAACCUUGAAAUGUUGAUGUUUAAGGGCUGUUGAUUGCUGGCAGCAAAGAAGUCCAACUGUGCUGGUACCCGAGAUAGCGUCUCCACAUUUUCUUCCAGGAUCAUCACCUUUGUUCUAAAUAGCUCCCACAUAGUGUGAACAGAAGUCAUAUGUUUUAGAUUUUCUGCCUUGGCACCCAGGAAACCAGUAUGAUUGAGUAAACAUAUUAAACUUCCUCUGCAUUUCCAGCCUGAACAGAUGUUGAGUACAAGCUGAUCCACCUACGUUCAACCUGAGAGAGUCCACAUCCACAGACUGUUUCAUUUCCCUUUUUCAAUUUACAUAGAAGCAUAGAUUCUUGCUGGCAUAUACAAAUGCGCCAUUUAAGGCAAUCAAAAAUGGUUCCACAUCUCAUCUGAUUUCCACAAUUGUUGCUGUAACGAUGGACUACUGAGGAGAGAGACAAUUUCUCUGGCACAUCUUCCCACAUUUUAGCAACAUGUUCAUGGAGAGCCAAUAUUCAGUAAUUACAGCCCAAUUCCUCACAAUUUCACAAUUCGCUAACAAUAUGCAUUUUCACAAUGUAAAGCUGAUUUUCCUUUAACCAAAUCAAACAUGAAAAGAUAGCUGCAUGCAAUGGGCAAUCUAGAUCAUUAGAAGAUUGAUGUAAAAUUAGAGGACACUGAGACUGGAAUAGAUUGCAAACUUCAGGGAGCUCAGAAAACUUGUAAACUCUACAUUUUGAGGAAAUAUGUUGUCGAUGCUUUUGCAACUCUAUGCAGUAACUUAACAAAUAAAGCCUUAAAGUAAC